UUAAGCGACUAAGCGUACACGGUGGAUGCCCUGGCAGUCAGAGGCGAUGAAGGACGUGCUAAUCUGCGAAAAGCGUCGGUAAGGUGAUAUGAACCGUUAUAACCGGCGAUGUCCGAAUGGGGAAACCCAGUGUGAUUCGUCACACUAUCGUUAACUGAAUACAUAGGUUAACGAGGCGAACCGGGGGAACUGAAACAUCUAAGUACCCCGAGGAAAAGAAAUCAACCGAGAUUCCCCCAGUAGCGGCGAGCGAACGGGGAGCAGCCCAGAGUCUGAAUCAGCUUGUGUGUUAGUGGAACGGUCUGGAAAGUCCGACGGUACAGGGUGAUAGUCCCGUACACCAAAAUGCACAGGUUGUGAACUCGAAGAGUAGGGCGGGACACGUGGUAUCCUGUCUGAAUAUGGGGGGACCAUCCUCCAAGGCUAAAUACUCCUGACUGACCGAUAGUGAACCAGUACCGUGAGGGAAAGGCGAAAAGAACCCCGGCGAGGGGAGUGAAAAAGAACCUGAAACCGUGUACGUACAAGCAGUGGGAGCACCUUCGGGUGUGACUGCGUACCUUUUGUAUAAUGGGUCAGCGACUUAUAUUCUGUAGCAAGGUUAACCGUAUAGGGGAGCCGCAGGGAAACCGAGUCUUAACUGGGCGUUAAGUUGCAGGGUAUAGACCCGAAACCCGGUGAUCUAGCCAUGGGCAGGUUGAAGGUUGGGUAACACUAACUGGAGGACCGAACCGACUAAUGUUGAAAAAUUAGCGGAUGACUUGUGGCUGGGGGUGAAAGGCCAAUCAAACCGGGAGAUAGCUGGUUCUCCCCGAAAGCUAUUUAGGUAGCGCCUCGUGAACUCAUCUUCGGGGGUAGAGCACUGUUUCGGCUAGGGGGUCAUCCCGACUUACCAACCCGAUGCAAACUACGAAUACCGAAGAAUGUUAUCACGGGAGACACACGGCGGGUGCUAACGUCCGUCGUGAAGAGGGAAACAACCCAGACCGCCAGCUAAGGUCCCAAAGUCAUGGUUAAGUGGGAAACGAUGUGGGAAGGCACAGACAGCCAGGAUGUUGGCUUAGAAGCAGCCAUCAUUUAAAGAAAGCGUAAUAGCUCACUGGUCGAGUCGGCCUGCGCGGAAGAUGUAACGGGGCUAAACCAUGCACCGAAGCUGCGGCAGCGACACGAUGUGUUGUUGGGUAGGGGAGCGUUCUGUAAGCCUGCGAAGGUGGCCUGUGAGGGUUGCUGGAGGUAUCAGAAGUGCGAAUGCUGACAUAAGUAACGAUAAAGCGGGUGAAAAGCCCGCUCGCCGGAAGACCAAGGGUUCCUGUCCAACGUUAAUCGGGGCAGGGUGAGUCGACCCCUAAGGCGAGGCCGAAAGGCGUAGUCGAUGGGAAACAGGUUAAUAUUCCUGUACUUGGUGUUACUGCGAAGGGGGGACGGAGAAGGCUAUGUUAGCCGGGCGACGGUUGUCCCGGUUUAAGCAUGUAGGCUGGUUAUCCAGGCAAAUCCGGAUAAUCAAGGCUGAGGUGUGAUGACGAGGCACUACGGUGCUGAAGUAACAAAUGCCCUGCUUCCAGGAAAAGCCUCUAAGCAUCAGGUAACAUCAAAUCGUACCCCAAACCGACACAGGUGGUCAGGUAGAGAAUACCAAGGCGCUUGAGAGAACUCGGGUGAAGGAACUAGGCAAAAUGGUGCCGUAACUUCGGGAGAAGGCACGCUGGUGUGUAGGUGAAGCCCCUGCGGGUGGAGCUGAGACCAGUCGAAGAUACCAGCUGGCUGCAACUGUUUAUUAAAAACACAGCACUGUGCAAACACGAAAGUGGACGUAUACGGUGUGACGCCUGCCCGGUGCCGGAAGGUUAAUUGAUGGGGUUAUCCGUAAGGAGAAGCUCUUGAUCGAAGCCCCGGUAAACGGCGGCCGUAACUAUAACGGUCCUAAGGUAGCGAAAUUCCUUGUCGGGUAAGUUCCGACCUGCACGAAUGGCGUAAUGAUGGCCAGGCUGUCUCCACCCGAGACUCAGUGAAAUUGAACUCGCUGUGAAGAUGCAGUGUACCCGCGGCAAGACGGAAAGACCCCGUGAACCUUUACUAUAGCUUGACACUGAACAUUGAGCCUUGAUGUGUAGGAUAGGUGGGAGGCUUUGAAGCGUGGACGCCAGUCUGCGUGGAGCCAACCUUGAAAUACCACCCUUUAAUGUUUGAUGUUCUAACGUUGGCCCCUAAUCGGGGUUGCGGACAGUGUCUGGUGGGUAGUUUGACUGGGGCGGUCUCCUCCCAAAGCGUAACGGAGGAGCACGAAGGUUAGCUAAUCCUGGUCGGACAUCAGGAGGUUAGUGCAAUGGCAUAAGCUAGCUUGACUGCGAGCGUGACGGCGCGAGCAGGUGCGAAAGCAGGUCAUAGUGAUCCGGUGGUUCUGAAUGGAAGGGCCAUCGCUCAACGGAUAAAAGGUACUCCGGGGAUAACAGGCUGAUACCGCCCAAGAGUUCAUAUCGACGGCGGUGUUUGGCACCUCGAUGUCGGCUCAUCACAUCCUGGGGCUGAAGUAGGUCCCAAGGGUAUGGCUGUUCGCCAUUUAAAGUGGUACGCGAGCUGGGUUUAGAACGUCGUGAGACAGUUCGGUCCCUAUCUGCCGUGGGCGCUGGAGAAUUGAGGGGGGCUGCUCCUAGUACGAGAGGACCGGAGUGGACGCAUCACUGGUGUUCGGGUUGUCAUGCCAAUGGCACUGCCCGGUAGCUAAAUGCGGAAGAGAUAAGUGCUGAAAGCAUCUAAGCACGAAACUUGCCCCGAGAUGAGUUCUCCCUGAGACUUUAAGUCUCCUGAAGGAACGUUGAAGACGACGACGUUGAUAGGCCGGGUGUGUAAGCGCAGCGAUGCGUUGAGCUAACCGGUACUAAUGAACCGUGAGGCUUAACCUU
rnacentral:rRNA from 1 species